rnacentral:lncRNA from 1 species
UUCGUUGAAGCACUAAUUUAACCAAGCCUUCUGGAGCUUAAAAAAUAAAAAAAAAUUGACUUUCAAAUGCAAAAACUCGCGUGUCCUUUCUCUUUCAAAUACUGGGUUGUAGCCCUGAUCUGAUGAUGUAGCCCAACAAAAAAGUCGGCUUCAAAUUUCGAAGGCUGGCCAUGGCCCAAAGUUCUCUAACGGGCUUGAGGUAAGUACUCUGGCCAUGGCCCAAAGUAUAAAUCUCCGGGUUACAUUUUUGUGAGCUUUAUUCUUUUCUUCAACACUGAGUUUUACUCGCCGUCCAUUGCCUGCCAAAGUUCUUUUUUUUUUUUUAUAUAAAAUUUUUAGUUGACAUCAAUGCAAAACUGACAUUUUUAUUAACAGAAAAGUUACAAAGCCCUAGCUGAAACAGCUAACUUAUGGGCAUAGUACAUUGUCCUAGUCGUUGAAAUAUAAAUUGAUGAGCGUGUUUCGAUCAUAGGAGAUUAUUUAAAACAUUUUUUUUGAUAUAAUGUAUGUAGAAUAAAAAAAUAUAUUUAUAAUAAAAAAAAUAAGUAAGUAAAUUUGUGUAACUUGCUAUCUUGAAAUAGUGCCACGAUGCAUUCGUGGCCUUUGGACUAUUUUUUGUAGCACCCCCUCAAUUAGGACUGUGCAUCGAAAUCGAAAUUGAAAAGCGGUAAUUCAGAAGUUUGAAAUCGAAAAUUUUCGAAAUUUUGACUGAAAUUUUUCUGACUGAAUUCGAUUUAGAAAUGGCCAAUUCCGAUUUCGAAUUCGAUAUCGAAUUGAAUUCAGAAUUCGAUUAAUUCCGAAUUCACCGAUUUUAUUUUAUUUUAUUAUUUUUUUUGCCUCUCUUGUUCAAAAAGGGAAAACCCUAUUCAAAUUUAAUGCAGUCCGUUUGGAUUCCACAAGUCGACUGUGUCAAAUUCAAGAGGAAAGUAUAAAGGAUGAAGCUGAAUAGCUGAUAACAUAACAAUUUUGCAAUUUCCAAGCAUCCUAGUUGCAAUUUUCAUAACAAUUUUACAGUCGCUAAUAUUUUUCCCCCAAAAAAGUUGUGAUUUAUUUUCCUACUCAUAUUAAGGUUAAGAAAUUCGAAAACAAAAAGAGCGCAAAGAGAUUCCAUUACUGCCCAAAGAAACACGGUGAAAGAUUUAGCAAGAGAAUAUCAAAACAAUCAGUUAAUUACAACAUAAUCAUCACCGGAGAAAGAAAUAUUACUACUUAAGAAGAAAAACAAUGGAAAUGUACCUCUUACUCUCAGUCACAAGUUGAGCUGGAUGUUGAUUCUCUUCAACGAGUACCAGGAGAGAACAACUGGGUUCUAGUCAGUCAAUGGUGAUUGCUGCAAGGUGGAGAAUUGCUUCCUUUGCAAACUUUGCGGAGAUUAGCUAAAUUUUUUGCUUUAGUUCUUGGCUUUCUGCCUUGGACUGUUUUGCUGGGUGGGAGAAAUUGGGGGCAGCGGGUCGUGGACUCGAGGUCAAUGGAGGUUCAGCACAUUUGGUGGCAAAGCACCCCAGUGGAAGGGCCGAAAGAAGGAAGGUGAUGGGAAGGAAGGAAGGAAGAAGCGGCAAAGCUGAGUCGGAGGCGGAGGAACUAGGAAGGAAGGUGAAUGAGACAGCGGAGUCAGGCGGUGGAGGCGGAGGAAGGAAGGUGAGACUGAGGAUUGAGGAAGACAGUGACGAAGAGACAAUGAGGAAGAGGCGGCAGAAGAGUAAGGACUAAGGUGAGUUAAAUUAGG